rnacentral:rRNA from 1 species
GACGAACGCUGGCGGCGUGCCUAAUACAUGCAAGUAGAACGCUGAAGAGAGGAGCUUGCUCUUCUUGGAUGAGUUGCGAACGGGUGAGUAACGCGUAGGUAACCUGCCUUGUAGCGGGGGAUAACUAUAGGAAACGAUAGCUAAUACCGCAUAACAAUGGAUGACCCAUGUCAUUUAUUUGAAAGGGGCAAAUGCUCCACUACAAGAUGGACCUGCGUUGUAUUAGCUAGUAGGUGAGGUAACGGCUCACCUAGGCGACGAUACAUAGCCGACCUGAGAGGGUGAUCGGCCACACUGGGACUGAGACACGGCCCAGACUCCUACGGGAGGCAGCAGUAGGGAAUCUUCGGCAAUGGGGGCAACCCUGACCGAGCAACGCCGCGUGAGUGAAGAAGGUUUUCGGAUCGUAAAGCUCUGUUGUAAGUCAAGAACGAGUGUGAGAGUGGAAAGUUCACACUGUGACGGUAGCUGACCAGAAAGGGACGGCUAACUACGUG